GACGAACGCUGGCGGCGUGCUUAACACAUGCAAGUCGAACAGUGGCGAACGGGUGAGUAACACGUGAGUAACCUGCCCUCCACUUUGGGAUAACUCCGAGAACUCGGGGCUAAUACUCGAUAGCGGGGGAUGGGCUCGCGGCCUAUGAGUUUGUUGGUGAGGUAGUGGUCACCAAGGCGUGACGGGUAGCCGGCCUGGGAGGGCGACCGGCCACACUGGGACUGAGACACGGGCCAGAGUCGUACGGGAGGCAGGAGUGGGGAAUAUUGCACAAUGGGCGCAAGCCUGAGGCAGGGACGCAGGGUGGGGGAUGACGGCCUUCGGGUUGUAAACCUCUUUCAGCGAGGAAGCGGUACUUGCAGAAGAAGCGCCGGCUAACUACGUGCCAGCAGCCGCGGUAAUUC
rnacentral:rRNA from 1 species